rnacentral:rRNA from 1 species
GCAGUAGCCACGGUAAUACAGAGGGUGCGAGCGUUAAUCGGAUUUACUGGGCGUAAAGCGUGCGUAGGCGGCUUCUUAAGUCGGAUGUGAAAUCCCUGAGCUUAACUUAGGAAUUGCAUUCGAUACUGGGAAGCUAGAGUAUGGGAGAGGAUGGUAGAAUUCCAGGUGUAGCGGUGAAAUGCGUAGAGAUCUGGAGGAAUACCGAUGGCGAAGGCAGCCAUCUGGCCUAAUACUGACGCUGAGGUACGAAAGCAUGGGGAGCAAACAGGAUUAGAUACCCCAGUAGUCCCUGUCUCUUAUAC